GCUACACGAGCGAGCUUCAUCGGGUGGGACAACCCACGGCGAAAUGUUUUUUGUCCUCGCUGUGGCUGUCACACCUGAUGGAGAUCGCUCGUGUGAUG
rnacentral:pre_miRNA from 1 species